AGUUAACGGGGAUAAAAAUGGGGUCCGGAAAAGCCUGUUUAGGCUACCUCGUUUUAAAGAGGAAAUGUUUGAUUUUUCUCCCUUUUUCUUUAUUCUUUUUCUUAUUUUCCUCCGCCGUUUUCUUUCAUUGCCGCGCGCCCGAAGUCCUCACCCCCUUGCCCUAACCGGCGCCGAGCUAACCGCUCGCGAUUUAAGCCCCGAUCAAGGUUUGUUCCUUUUUCUUCUUCUCCGCUCUGCCGUCCCCAAAUCGCCGGUGCCUAGCCUCUGCCCCGACUCCAGCGAUGCCACUGCCGGCACCGAUUUUCCAGCCUCGGCUGCCUUUCCUCUAUGCCCUAGCAUCUCUGCCGAUGCCACUGUCUCUCUUUCUCCCGACGCCGAGCAGCACCGAGCCCUAGGUGCCAACGCCGUCGACGCCUUUUUCCGACCUCUUCUGUGCCACUCCGAGACUCCUUGUCCGAGUUCUCACCGUGCCCUAGCCCCCGCUCAGCAGAUAGCCGGCUGCCAACACUCAAAGCAAAUGUCGAUUUGUAGCCUCUGCCCUAGCCUCUGUUUCCGACGCUGGUAAGGGUUCUGCCGUGGCCACCACUUGGGAUCUGUAUGUCGUCGUCGCCCCUUUGCUCUGGUUUACUGCCUCAGUAGCCCUUGCUGGAAACAACACCGGUGACCUAACUCCUCCGUCCUCUAAUCCAGUGAGCUACUGGAUGAAGUAGGAAGGAUUCCAGCAGCAAACGAUCCUACUUCCAACAGUGAUAAAACGGCUGUGAGUUUCAGGAUCUUGACGCGAGACGAGUAUCUUGGAGUCAGAUUU